rnacentral:rRNA from 1 species
CAGUCGCCGCGGUAAUACGAAGGGUGCAAGCGUUACUCGGAAUUACUGGGCGUAAAGCGUGCGUAGGUGGUGGUUUAAGUCCGUUGUGAAAGCCCUGGGCUCAACCUGGGAAUUGCAGUGGAUACUGGGUCACUAGAGUGUGGUAGAGGAUAGUGGAAUUUCCGGUGUAGCAGUGAAAUGCGUAGAGAUUGGAAGGAACAUCUGUGGCGAAGGCGACUAUCUGGGCCAACACUGACACUGAGGCACGAAAGCGUGGGGAGCAAACAGGAUUAGAUACCCGCGUAGUCCCUGUCUCUUAUAC